CGCGGUAAUACAGAGGGUGCAAGCGUUAAUCGGAAUUACUGGGCGUAAAGCGCGCGUAGGUGGUUUGUUAAGUUGGAUGUGAAAGCCCCGGGCUCAACCUGGGAACUGCAUCCAAAACUGGCAAGCUAGAGUACGGUAGAGGGUGGUGGAAUUUCCUGUGUAGCGGUGAAAUGCGUAGAUAUAGGAAGGAACACCAGUGGCGAAGGCGACCACCUGGACUGAUACUGACACUGAGGUGCGAAAGCGUGGGGAGCAAACAGGAUUA
rnacentral:rRNA from 1 species